CUCCACAUAAACAAACUGAAACCCUACCCAACACUCUUUUGUCCCUAUAAAAGGACGUGAUAAGCAAAGUAAGCAGUCGGCUGUCAUCUCCAAAGUUCCCAUCCUCUAAUUCAUACGUCUCUUCAACCAUUACUCUCCUGGUAUGGUGUAACUGUAAUCUAUUUUAUAUUUUGAUUUUUCUAGUAUCACAAUUAGUGGAAGAUUUCAGGGAAACAUGUUUUUGCUCUCUCUUUUGUUCAUGAAUUUCAUCAUACAUAGUCAUCGAUUGUGAGAAUGAAACAUUACGAAUAUAUAUUCUAUUUGUGCAAUCAAAUGGAAUAUAAAAUUUUUCAUUUAUAAUUAUCAUUAACAUAGCUUUAAUAGAUGGAUGGAUACUGUUUAGCAGUGAAAUUUGAAUAAGGUACUUUGUAUAAUUAUGUAUAAUUGCGUUUAUGAUUAAGCUAGUAAUCCUUCUUUGCAAAGUCAUUUAUUAUUUUUCCUUUAAUUACUAUAAUCAAUGACUUUGCAAAGAUAGAUUUACUAGCUAAAUCUUAAAAGCUUUUGGAAGCGAAGCGAUGCCACAAUCGGAUGAAUGCUUCAGAUCCCCUCAGCAAAAUCUACAGAUAUGCUUGCUUGAUUCUUUAGGUAUAUGUACUGUCUUAUGUAUUCGACAAACUAUUAACUUUUAUUGAUUUUCAGGCUGCUACAACAUAUAGUGUUGUAAUACUACUUGUUUCCAGUAUGCUAAUAGGGUUAUGUUACACGGCGCAACCAGUGCUUUGAAUAAAUUAAGAUCCCUACCAGCUUUCAGAAAGAUGUGCUGAAUGAGAGAAUAACAUUAAUGAUUUGUGAUUUUGUGUGGGCUAAAGUGAAUACAGCAGCAGCAGCAGAUGUGCUGUGGUGACAUUGUAGUAACUUCUUGUUCCAAUAUGCUAACAGUUAGGUUAUAGGUGCUGAAACGCUUGAUUUAGUGCUAAUGUGUCAUGAUUUUAAGCUCUUUAUUGUUUUUUUUCCUUGCAACAGCUUGUAGUAUUGGACUCUUAACCUUUAUUCCCUUUAAUUAAAAAAUGGUACAGUAAGCUCUUUGUGAAAGAGAUGUGAAAUUUCAUGCAAGCUCAUUAAAUACCCUUUGUUUGAUUGUGUCAAUUAGUUUUGUAAUAUCGUAUAGGGUUUAUUUUGAACUGAGGAGCCAGGAUAUUUAAUUUGUCAAGAUUUUGCCUCCGAAAAUACCAAUCUGCCAAGAUUAAUUGGAGUUUAGAGGAGACAAAAUAGAAAUUUGUAGAGAUAUUCAACGCCAUGCACAUGAAAAAUAGUGAACGUACACCUUUAAUAAAAGAUUUCUACCCUUUUUGACUGUUAAAGUAACUUUAACACAGGAUUCUUCCACACUUGCAAGAACUCAUUGAUUUUAAACCAUUGGAUUCUUUCUCACCUCUUGCGUUGGAUUUGUUUCUUAUAAAGCUUCCUUUUAUGUCUAUGAUGUGUUUUUUUGAUAGCUUUUGUAGUUUUAAUGUAAGGUUUCCUUUGAGGUGAAAAGUUUUGGAGUAAGGUAAAAUAUUCAAGGUGUAAAAAAAUAUUAAAAUGAUAAGUUUUGGAGUAAGGUCAUAAAAUGAGCAGAAAUCAUAAAUGUGUUGGUCCACCCUUGAAUUUCAAACGAGAUUAGAUUUUGUAACGAGAAAUCAGCUAACUAAAAUGCAUGGCAAAAUAAGCAUUCAUUCUGUAGAUACAAUGUCAUCUGCAUCUUAUUGAUAAGGAUUUUUCAUUUGUUCAAGAUAAUAAAUUUUAAAUUAUUUAUAUUUAUCCUCGAAUAUUUCUUUCUUUUUUAAUCUUGAUAGCAAGAACAAUUUGGGUGGAAAAGAAGAUGAUGUGUUUUCAGCUUUUGCGUCAGAGUGCUAAACAGUUGAAUAAUUUAUAUUUAUAUUUUUGUUUGAAUAAUUUACAAAAUGAAAUUACCAAACUCUAGCUUAGCCACUUUGGUCCAUAUAAAACGACAUGAUUGCCAAUGCAUAAGCCGUCCGCUGCCAUGUCCAAGGCUUCCCUCAUCUUCAUCCCUUCCUUUCUGGCUGUCUCUGCAUUUACAAUCCCAAAAAACUAAUCGAAAGUCGUAUAGGAAUUCCACCAAAGAAAAAAAACCGCACGCAUCUCAAACUCCCUUUCUUUUUAUGGAAGGAACAAGCCUUAUCCAUGUCACCUAUCUUCUCUUUUAUAUCAGACAAUAGAGUCAACCAUGGCAGUCACUUAGUCGCUUCAGCUUUUAUUGAUUCUAUAUUUCAUCUUCAACAGCAAUUGGGUAUGGUGCAAUCACGUUUCUAGUUUGAUCUUCGCACUUAUUCAACUAGAACGAGAUACAAGAGCAAAGAUAUGAUGGGUUCUUUGCCAUUCUAUUGUGAGAAUGGAGCAUUUCGAAUUUUGAUUUCAACCAUUCUCAUUUUAACUUGCAUGGAUAUUGUUUAGGAAGUGGAUUGGUUGAAACUUAGGUAAUAUAAUGCAUUUUCUUCAUGAAAUUUUUUAUUCUGUUCAAUAACAAUAAUUAAAAGUAGUUAAGGCAAUACAAUUUUUAUUUGAUGCCUUUGCUUCUUUCAAUAUGUAAUUAUCAAAAUUAAUUGUGAUAAUGAAGCAUUACGGAUGUAUAUUUGUUUUGUUCAAACAAACUGAACAUUUUCUUAUGAUAAUAUGUAUUCAUUUUUUUAAAAUUUAUUGGAUUUAAUUUGUUUAUGAUGCUAGUGUAGAUUAUUUGAUUUUCUGAGUUAUUGAAUUCAGAUUUUCUCAUUUUCUGUUUUAACUUUUGGCUAAAUCUAACUGCCUUUAUCUAUAUGACUGUUGAUUCAUAGCCGGAGUUGUCAAUUGUGCUCUUCUUUCUUCUUCAAUCAACAUAUGUUGAGUAGUUUUUGCAUCUGCUGUGUGAUUGAUGUGUUGGACAGGAGGAUAGCAUCCCUGCCUUGCUUAAUUAUGUAUAGGCUGAAGUUAAUUCAGCAGUAGCAGUGGAUCAUUUCAGCUGAAUGGUUUUAUCUCAAAUUAUAGCAGAUUAAUGUCGAAUCAGAGAUUAACCUUUUAAACUUUAUUAUUACUUGCUGUACCAUUCUGUCUGGCUUUGUGCACACUUAAAAUGUUCAUAGACUUGGUGAUAAUUGUGCCAGUGCCUUAAAUGGGAUGCUGCAUUGCUCCUCGCCGCUAAGCUAGCGGUCUGUCUGCUGGAGCUGUCUUCCUUCAAAACAGAUUGAUGUAAAUGCAGAUGGGAGCCCAUUUAGUAAAAUCUUGGCCCUUUGGUUCCAGGUGUUUUAAUUAGUGAUGGACAUGGUUGGUUGAUACUCGCAUCACAGGUUCCUUUAUGCUUAUAUGGACCAUAACAAAUAUGGUGGCAACAAUAAGCUUGGAAUUGGGCAUCAAAAAAUGUUAUUCUUGAAUCAGAUUCCCAACAGUGCUGUUGCAAGCCUGAUCAGAUGAGCUCAUCUAUCACCCUUGUUCUGUAUUGCUUGAAGCCAUUAAAGAAAUUUUGCAGGGAAGAUGUGCUGCGUGAUGCAUAUGAACCUGUGCAGAUAUCUUAGCUAAGAUGGGUGCCUCUUAGCACAGUGAUCUUCUGUUUUGGUCUUCAUCCCCAUCUAAGCUCGUACAGCUCUGUUUCGCUUUUGUUCACAGUACCAAAAAAGGCACCAUGGAUGAACCAGCUUGCCCAUAAUGGUGACAAGGUGUGAAACAAAAUAACUUUUCAACAACAGAGAUUUCAGAAACACAAUUGUAAAAUUAUUCCAUUCAAUUCAUGGCAUUUAAUUAACGCGGCCUCAAUAUUUUUGCUUUA